GGCAGUGUAGCUCAGUGGGUAAGGAACCGGGCUUGUAACCAAAAGGUCGCAGGUUCGAUUCCUGGGUUAGGACACUGCCG
rnacentral:tRNA from 1 species